rnacentral:lncRNA from 1 species
GAGGAAGUCUACUGGUUAAGAUACAGCAAAAAUUUAGAAUCACCCUUCAGGAUAAAUAUGAAGAUUAUUAUAGAAAUACUUGGGUACAGUGAAGACUGUCUCAUCUGUGUUAAGAUCUUAUCUACGGAAAGAGGGAAACAUAUAAACACCAAAAUGAUAAAAUGGCAUUUCUGUUCUAUUAAUUUUAAUACACACUGUAAUAUUUUCUGCUGUUUUCUAGAUAUAAUGCAAGAUAAAAUUUUGAUAAAUUGGAAAAAGAAAUGAAAAAAAUAAUUUAAAAGUAACUGAACAAAUAUAAAGAGAUCAUCAAGGGCACAAACACAAAAUGAUUUGUAGAUACAGGAUACAGACUGAGAAUGAGCAUUCCUCAGUGUAUCUGCCAGCAGUAAAUCUCUUUAGCUGAAGAUAUAUUUGUGUACUAUAAUACAGUGCCGAUUUUACUUCCUCUUAUCUGUAAAAAGAAUUAUAAACAAAGGAGGCAGAAUAGCUCUGUCUCUUUUAGACAAAUGAUUUUACUAUAUGUGGUGGGAAUUUGACCACUGAGGAUAACAAAAAGAAUGAUGUUCUCAAUACCUUCUUUACAUCUGUCUUUAAAAGUUGGACCAAUUGCCCUUGGGCUACUCUCCCCCCUGACCUGGAAGUCUGGGAUUAAUAAAUGCCCCCCAUUUCAGGUGGAAAGAGUUAGAUACCUACAGCUUCACCUGACCUGUCACAAGUCCAUGGGGCCAGAUGGCAUCUACCUGAAGGUACUGAGGGAGUGAGAAGACAUGAUUGCCAAACCAGUUUUCACUACCAAUGAUCCUGGUUAACUGGAAAGGUCCCAGAGGAUUGGAGACUUGCCAACAUUACUCAAAUCUACAAGAAGGGUUGUAAAGAGAAUCUGAGGAACUACAAACUUAACAACCUGACUUCGGUGCCAGGUUAUGCCAGGAAUGUUAUAUCAUCAUGAGUGAAAUCACACAGCUUGUGCGGGACAACCAGGGGAUUAGGCCUAGCCAGCAUAGGUUCACAAAAGUAUUCUCCCAAAGAAGUUGGCAGCCUGUGUCCUGGACAAGUACACUCUUUGCUGGGUCAAGAACUGGCUGGAUGGCUGGUGAGUGGAGUUAAAUCCAGCUAGUGACCAGUAACAAAUUGUGUUCUCCAGGGGGUGGUAUUGGGGCCUGUCCUGUUUCAGUAUCUUUAUUGAUGACCUAGACAAGGGUACUGCGUGCACCUCAGUGAGUUUGCAGAUGACACCAAGUUGAGGGAAAAUGUCAAUCUGUCUGAGGUUAGGAAGGCCCUACAGAGUGGUCUAGACAAGCUAGAGCACUGGGUUGCGGCCAAUGGGAUGAAGUUCAAGAAGACCAAGUUCACAUUCCUGCACUUUGGCCACAACAACCCUAGAGAACGCUAUAGGCUUGAGGUAGAGUGGCUGGAAGACUAUAUAGAGGAAAAGGAUCUGGGGGUGUUGGUUGACACUCAGCUGAGCAUAAGCCAGCAGCUCACUGUGGUAGGUGGAUGGUUGGACUGAAUGAUCUUGGAGGUCUUUUCCAACCUUUGUGAUUCUAUGAUUCUAUAAUAUAUGACUUUGUCUGCAAAAUGUCUCUGACAGAAACAAGUUCAAAAGGAAAAAAAUAUAUUUAUCGUCGUUGUUAUUAUAUUUAAAAUAACUUCUAUAGCAAAUGGGGUCAACAAUAAAUAAAAAGGAAUUAAAUGACAGCAAAAGUAAGUGUAUCAUAUAAGUGAUUCAUUACCUUUUAACAUUAAAAAAAAAAAAAGGGUCAAUGUGCAAGUGUUUUAAUUAGCAAAAUGAGAAAUCAUCAUCAACAACAACAAAAAAUCCUUAUUAUUAUUUUUUUCUUUAAUAACGGAAUGUCAGUUUUUGUUCCUUUUUAACUAUGGUGUGCUUUCUGCUCCAUCAAGAAAACAAGGAUUUUUUGAAGGGGAAAAAAAAAAUAAGAAAAAAGAAAAAAGAAAAACCACAUUAUGCCACAGGGAAGGUUUGCAUUCAUGCUCAGAACACAGGGUUUUUUUGUUUUGUUUUGUUUUGUUUUGUUUUUUCCUUUCAGCAGUAUUUCCUCUUUAUUUGACAUGGUAUACCAUGAAUUUAAUACUGUCAGGGCCAGAAGCACAAUUAUAUCAGCAUCUUAGGAAAAGCAGAAGCAGCACUUCUUUGACUUGUUUACCUUUUAGGAAUAUAUUCUGUAUGCCAUGCAUUAAAAAUAUUCAUAUUCUUUUUUCAGUUAACUAUGGCACAGCUUUCUUAUUUUCAAAAAGCAUUCUGAUGAAGGGUUGAAAGAGGUAGAAACAUUGAAGGAAUAUCAGGUGAAAAGGGGCUGGCUGUUUAUUUGUACACGACUCUGGUACUGUUUGUUAAUGACAUCUAAGUAGCUUCUUCUGUGGAAAAUCUGAAUAUGGAAUACAGAACUCAAAAUACAUGAUAGGUUGGAAUUCCAAAAAUGGUACAAAUAGAACUCCUGUUACCAAUCCAAACUAAAUAAAAUUUCCUCUCCAUGGUUAUUUGAGGCUGUUGAAUUUCAAAGUCCUCUAGUCAGCUAAGGAAAGCCAUAUGAAAUAAUGUACUUUAUUCAGGAAAAAAGUAAUUGCUUAUUUAUUAAUUAAAAAAAAAAAAAAGUUUAUAUAUUUUAAACACCUGAUUCCAGAUCAGAACAAACUUUUUAAAUGCUUUUUAAACUCCUUUUUGACUAUAUUUUAUUGGAAAUGUCGAUAGAUUGUCAAAUUCAACAUUAUAAGUGGUGGGAGUAUAUAGGAAAUUGAAAGGAUGAUUUUGUAAGAUAGUAACCUAAAUAGUUUCAUAUUCUAAAACAGUUACUCAGUGUUCAGCUUAAAAAAUGCUUUAGAAUAAACUGUCAAAAUGACUAUUUCAUUGUAGUGAUUUAUAUUUUAAUUAUCUUCCUUUCACAUGUAAAAAGUUGAUUGUUGGUAAUUAUUUUUUCAGAUCUGUGAAGUCUAUCU